rnacentral:lncRNA from 10 species
UGCUGUGGGCUCCACCCAGUUUGAACUUCCCAGCAGCUUUGUUUACACUGUGAGUGUAAAACCACCUACUCAAGCCUCAGCAAUGGCAGGCACCCCUCCCCUCACCAAGCUGGAACAUCCCAGGUUGAUCUCAGACUGCUGCUGUGCUAGCGGCGAGAAUUUCAAGCCCGUGGAUCUUAGUUUGCUGGGCUCCGUGGGAGUGGGGCCUGUUUAGCCAGAUCACUUGGCUCCCUGGCUUCAGCACCCCUUUCCAGUGGAGUCAGCGGUUCUGUCUUUCUAGCAUUCCAGCUUCUUAAAUGCUGCAUUGAAAGGAUGAAACAGAACGGAUGUGAACAAGAGUUCCCUGAGAAAGGACAGCUCUUAGAGAGAUAGGAUAAUUACUGGACUCAAGAAGAUACCAAAUCAUGGUGUGCAUUUCUGCGUUGUGUUUGGAAGAGGAACUAGGAUUGUUAUGAAAAGGAAGGAUGUGUUCAACUUAGAAGAAUUAAACCUCAACCAUCUGUCUCUUCCAAAUGGCAUUCUUGAUUCUAAAAAUCUUAAGUAGAGUGUAAAGUUAUUGUUGGAUACUGUAGUAGCCAGGCUAAGCUGAGCUAUUCAGUGGAACAGAUAAACCCGAAAAUCUCAGUGGCUUAACACAACAAGAUUUAUUUCUUUUUAGUAUCACAAUCUGAUGUAGAUUGGGUUGGUCUCCUGCUUGGCUUUCCAUCAAGUGACAGCUCAGGGAUCCAAGUUGCUUUUAUUUGGAAACUGUCAUCUUGAGAGCAUUUUGUUUCCAGCUGUAUGGACAGGAGAUCCAGAAGGUGUGGAGAAGUGCAUCCUUCCUGGAUCACAAAUGAUACAUCACUUUAGCUCACAUUCCAUUGUUAAGAAUUAGUGACAUGAUCCCACUGGGAUUCAUGGGGUCUGGGAUAUGGAACACUUGGAUAUUUGGCGAGCAUGAACAAUCUUUGCCAUAGAAACAUUGCCUCUAUAAUGUUAUUCUAUAUCCCUUAUCUUCUCAUGGUAGAUUUCACAUAGGAUUAGUAUCAGGAAAACGUUUUUCUCUCCUAACACUUGCUCUGGGGAAAGCCAGCUGCCAUAUUGUGAGCAGACCUAUGAAAAGGCCCACUUGGUGAAGAACUGAGGCCUCUGGCUGAUGGACACAUGGGUGACCUUGCAAUCAAGUCUUCUGGCUUCAACCAAGCCUUCAGCUGAGACUGCAGCCUCAUGAAAGAUCCUGAGCUAGAAGCAUCCUGCCAUCCUAAUAAGCCACUCUUGAAUUUCUGACCCUUAAAAAUUGUGAGAUAAGCACCUGUGCUUUUUUUAAGUGUUAGAUUUAAAAAACCCUGAAAAAAUAAAGAAGAAAAAAGACAACUCAUAAUCUCACCACAUUAAAAAGAAUAGCUAUAGAAAAAUUCCAGUAGUAUAAAAAGGAAAAAUGGAAAUAACUUCCCACCAUCCCUGAUCUUUAGUUCUUUUUCCCACAGUGACAUUUUCUUUCCCAAGAAAUGUUCAUGCAUAUGCAAUAUAUGUGUAAACCCUUUAAGAUGUUCACAAAAGGAUCAUGUUACACUCAUUCGAAAAACUUAAUAUUAUAUCUUGAAGGUGUCUUCAUAUCAGUAUAUAUAUAUCUAUCUUAGUUUGUUAAUAGAUUUCCCAUAAUUUAAAUGUACCAUAUUUCUUUUACCAGUCCCCAUAUAUGGACAUUUAGGAUAUUUCCAGUAUUCUUUUCUGUUAUAAAAAUAUGGUGAUAAACAUUUUCAUGCUUUUUUGAGUAUCUUCAAGUAAAGUCCUAUGGGUAGCAUUCUGGCAUCACGUUGUAUAUGCAUUUAAAGUUGAUGCUAUUCACUUGUUCCACAAUCUUUGCUCCGAGUUUACACUGAUGAAGCAUGAGAAUGCUAUAUCCCCACAAACCUGUGCAUAUUGUUGAUAGUAAGCAUUGUUUGCUAUUUUCUGACUAUUCAUUUUUCUUCUUUUGAGAAUUGCCAUGCCUAGAAGAGUGCCUGUCUUGUAAUAUAUAAGAUAAUAACUUGAUAGCUAGCAUUUCUGAGGCUUCUUGUGCCUUUAACGUAUAUUUACUGUUUUGAUACUUACAAAGACCCUAUGAAGUACGUACUAUUAUUAUCUGCUUAUGGCUGGUGGGAAAACUGAGCUGUACAGAAUUUAAACAAACUGUCCCAGGUCACACAACUAGGAAGGGUGGAGCCAGGAUGCAAAUGAUACGGAAUUUUAAAAAAUGGGUAGUUGAGUGAAUGAAUAAAUGGAUGACCUGUUUACAUCCUUUCUCAUUUUUAAUUGAAUUUUGUUUCUUUUUCUUUCUUAUUUGUAGGAUCUUUGUAUAUAUUAUGAACAUCAACUUCUUUCCUUUUCUACAUGUUGCAGAUAUUCCCUCUGGUCUGUUAUUUGUCUUUAACUUAUUUAUUUGCCACCUUUUGAUAUUCAUUUCUUAUUCACAUUAGAAAACCCUCAAAGUACUUAAAACUAUGACUCCAGAUAUUGUUGUUAGAACAUGUUUGAGGAAAAUAGUGAUGAUAAUUUAGGUGUACAGAGAAAUUCUGACGUGGGUAAUACAGAGUCUCCCUAAGUUAAUCUAAACAUGAAAAAUAACCACAGGGGAAUUAGUCGCUUUGUUCACACUGCGGUACUUUAACAUUAUAAUUCCCCUUUAGGCAUAUUUAUAAUUGAAAAAGAAGGUGUUGGGGGCUUUUAUAUUAUUAGAUUGACAUUUGGGGAAAUGAAUUUUUACUUUAUCUGCAACAAAUGAAUCCCAAUUAGUUAAGUGGCUCUGGGCUAAAGGAAGUAUAGUGACUUUCUCAUUUUCUUUCUACUUUUUGAAAUGCCCUUCCUUCCCAUUCCUAUGAACUUCUCUCAUCCUGCUGAGCCAAGUC